rnacentral:rRNA from 1 species
UACGUAGGGUGCGAGCGUUAAUCGGAAUUACUGGGCGUAAAGCGUGCGCAGGCGGCGUUGUAAGUCGAGUGUGAAAUCCCCGAGCUUAACUUGGGAAUUGCGCUCGAAACUACGAUGCUCGAGUGUGGCAGAGGAAGGUGGAAUUCCACGUGUAGCGGUGAAAUGCGUAGAGAUGUGGAGGAACACCGAUGGCGAAGGCAGCCUUCUGGGCCAACACUGACGCUCAUGCACGAAAGCGUGGGGAGCAAACAGG